CUGGUUGAUCCUGCCGGCGGCACCGCUUCGGAAUGCGACUAAGGCAUGUUAGACUAAGAGGUGUAAGACCUCGGCAGACGGCUGAGUAACACGCGGGUAACCUGCCCUGGAGUGGGGGAUAACCUCGGGAAACUGAGAAUAAUUUCCCCAUAGGUGUGGUAUGCUGGAAUGCUUCCACGCUAAAAGCCCCGGCGCUCCAGGAUGGGCCUGCGGCCUAUCAGGCUGUAGUGGGUGUAACGGACCCACUAACCUACGACGGGUAGGGGCGUUGAGAGACGGAGCCCCCAGAUGGAUUCUGAGACACGAAUCCAGGCCCUACGGGGCGCAGCAGCUACGAAAACUGCCCAAUGUGGGAAACCACGAGGCGGGCAUUCCCGAGUGCCAACGCAU
rnacentral:rRNA from 1 species